UGUAAACCCAGUGCAGUUUCCACCACACCAUGUGGGCAGAGGAGUUUGUUUCUGGAAAUAAGUAUAAGACAAUAGCACAUCCCCAAGUGGAAGGUGGCACAAUGUUAUCAACAGCUUGGUGAAGUCAUCCAGCUUGACACAUCAUCCAGAAUAAGAGAAAAUAGCUUUUUCAGGCUCAUCCUGGUAGAAGAAAAGGCUGAAAAUGAUAUCUCCAAUUUAUUACUGCAUUUGUCUGGGGGCACUUUUCUGAUUGAAAUGACACUAAAUCCACUGGGAAGUAGAAGCUGUGGGCUUCACGAGGAUGCAACCCACACAGCUGUGAUCAAACCUUUGAUCUGUUACCACGACUGUCAAAAUAAACUGAUAUGAAAUAUGAAAAAAAGAGAGUUCUUAUUUUUAACUGCCAGAU
rnacentral:lncRNA from 1 species